rnacentral:tRNA from 2 species
GCGUUAUUAGUGCAGUGGUCCAGCAUCCCGUCCUUCCAAGUCGGUGACAUCGGUUCGAAUCCGAUAUAACGCUCCA